rnacentral:rRNA from 1 species
GUCCUGGCCUUAAACGAUGGAUGCUUGGUGUCUGGGGUUUUAUAGUCCCCGGGUGCCGUAGCUAACGCGUUAAGCAUCCCGCCUGGGGAGUACGGUCGCAAGACUGAAACUCAAAGGAAUUGACGGGGACCCGCACAAGCGGUGGAGCAUGUGGUUCAAUUCUACGCAACGCGAAGAACCUUACCUGGGCUAGAAUGCCUCUGACAACUCCAGAGAUGGAGCCUCUUAGGGAAACCUAGGCAGAGUGCAAGGUGCUGCAUGGCUGUCGU